rnacentral:rRNA from 1 species
GACGAACGCUGGCGGCGUGCUUAACACAUGCAAGUAGAACGCAAAGGCCCUGCCUUUGUUGGGCGCUCGAGUUGCGAACGGGUGAGUAACACGUGAGUAACCUGCCCGUUACCUUGGGAUAACUUUAGGAAACUGUGGCUAAUACCGGAUAGGAGCUCCUGCCGCAUGGUGUGGGCUGGAAAGUUUCGGCGGUUGCGCAUGGACUCGCGGCUUCGCAGCUUGUUGGUGAGGUUGUGGCGUACCACGGCUUUGACGGGUAGCCGGCCUGGGAGGGUGACCGGCCACAUUGGGACUGGGGUAGCGCCCGUAGUGCUACGGCGGCCAGCAGCGGGAAUCAUUCCAAACUGGGCGGCGGCCGGAUGCAGGGACUCCGCGUGCUGAAGCACGGCCUUCGGGUUGUAACCCGCUUUCGCCUGUAACGAAGAGUGAGUGACGGUAAUGGGUAAAGAAGCACCGGCUAACUACGUG